GGAGACGUGGCAGAGUGGUUGAAUGCACCGGUCUUGAAAACCGACAAGGGUUCGUAGCCCUUCGAGAGUUCGAAUCUCUCCGUCUCCU
rnacentral:tRNA from 1 species